UUCGCCAGGGAACAACGAGCCCCAGCUUAAAACCCAAAGGACUUGGCGGUGCUUUAGACCCCCCUAGAGGAGCCUGUUCUAGAACCGAUACUCCCCGUUCAACCUCACCCUCCCUUGUUUUCCCCGCCUAUAUACCGCCGUCGUCAGCUUACCCUGUGAGGGAUAAAUAGUAAGCAGAAUUGGCACAGCCCAAAACGUCAGGUCGAGGUGUAGCGUACGAGAGGGGAAGAAAUGGGCUACAUUUACUAUGCCUAGUAGAUACGGAUGUUGCACUGAAAUAAGCAUCUGAAGGAGGAUUUAGCAGUAAGGGAGGAAUAGAGCGCCCCCCUGAAAAUGGCCCUGAAGCGCGCACACACCGCCCGUCACUCUCCCCAACCCCCGCACCCAAUAAAUAAUAUGAUUAAGCCCAACUACAAGGGGAGGCAAGUCGUAACAUGGUAAGUGUACCGGAAGGUGCGCUUGGAAAAACC
rnacentral:rRNA from 1 species